AGUUAAAGAAAAUAAAAAUAAAAUAAAUUGAGAGAUUAGAUUGACGUAGAAUUAACCCUAAUUCUGAUGGAUUUGGCGUAUGCAUAUUGGGCGAAAACUUUCCAUAAAAUCAGCCAAUGAUUUUCAAAUGUUUAGCAGAAGGAAUUCGCUUUCCUUCAUUCCCUUUCGUUUUCCCCCAAACAAGGAAAAACCUAUAAAUCGCAAAAAACUGUUCUUUCAGAGGCAGCUCUACCCGGACAAUGGACUCUGAAGAAAUGGACCCAGACAUCGUUCUAUGGAUCAUCGAGUUCCUAGCUCGGCAAGACUCAGUCUCUAAACUUGUUCUCAACAGGAUUCUCACAAAUACCCAUAUCCCCAUUUUGGCAACUCCACGCUUGAAGAAGACACUCGCUCUCCGCGCAAUCCAGGACGAAAUUGCCGACGGCUCCGUUUCCUCUGAAAUCAUUCUUGAAUCCCUCGAAAUCAUUGAACAAUUGGAUCAGAAGAAGGGAUUCAAGAUCCCAGACUCCAUGAAGCUCGCGUACUGCGCGGUUGCUGUGGACUGCACGGUGAAGCACUUGGGUGUUGUGGGAAGCAAACGCAAGCGUGACCCUGAGAUGUUUUUCGAGGCAGUGAAGACGAUUUGGAGUGAAAGAGUUGACAAGUUGGAGUUUUUGAAGAAAAGCGAGCUGGUUACUGAUGAGUUGAGGGAGUUUAAGGAGGAGAUGGAGGCGGCUUUGUGGGAUUCGAAUGCGUGUGGGAGGUUGUUGGAGAGGGCUACGCGAAAUGAAGCGUUAAGACUGGUUAUGGAUUAUUUAAAGGAGGCUUUGGAUGAAAUGGGUCGUCCAUUUCUUGAAUUGCUUGCCAGAGCUGAGAGGGAAAGGAAGGAGAAGGAAAUGGUAGAGAAGGAAAAGAAUGCUGAUAAAGUUGGGGUGAAAGCAAGCAGGGAACCAGAAGUAGGUGUUGCAGAUGGGUCUGCAAGGAAAGAAACUCAGAACAAUGAUAUGCUUCAUACUAGCAACAACCUUAAAGGAUCAGGUGGCAUUAUGGAUUCUGAAAAAGUAGUCAUGAACAUUCCUACUCCUGAAGUUAAAAUAGUGAAAGAAGCACUUAAAUCCAGCUCCAUGGAGUUAAAAGCUUUGUUGAAUGACCCUCUACCCAAUGCUUUACAUUUGUCUGAGGCUUUAAUGCCUGAAAGAAAAGCCUUGAAUAAGGAGAUUUUAGUAGAAAAUCAGGUUGGAAAGGGUGUAGAUGUGCCCAAUCCUUCCGUUAAUGUUGUAGUCUCCAUAGAAACACCCAAUCCAUCAGUUACUCAAACUAUUGAAUCCAUUCAAACUAUGAAGAAUGGUGCUGGAAUUCAAAUUUGUAACAAUCAGAUUGUUGUUUCCAAACACAGCUUAAUGGAGAAGAAUAGUACUGCUCGUACCUAUGAGUGGGAUGAUUCAAUUGAUGGUUCACCUGAAGGUGCCAGUGGUAUGAACAGAUUUCAGUUAGCUAAGCCAAGGACAAAGGUUGUGUCUCCAUUGAAGGAGUAUAAAAUCCCUAAGUUUGCUGGAAGGAGAAAAGUCAAGAGGUGGAGCGUGGAAGAGGAAGAUGCAUUGAGGGAGGGUGUGCAAUUGUUUGGUAGAGGAAACUGGAAGGCUAUCUUAGACUUUAAGCGUGACAUAUUUUAUGACAGAACUGAGGUUGAUUUGAAGGACAAGUGGAGAAACAUGACAAAAUAGCAACCUGCAUAAACCUAUUUUGUUAAUUUUGAUGAAGGUAGGUCCAAUCUACUCAACUGCAACUUAUCCAACCUACCUGAAAGGUCAGUUUUCAGGUUAUUUCCAAAGAUGAUGAGGUUCUUUCUUUCGAAGUAUGCAGUCUAUUAUUGCUCGGACUCGUACUCUGCAUAUGUGUUUCCUUCUUCUUUUCAUGAUUUCAGUGUGGGUUUUUCUACCUUUUUGUGAUAUACUGGUGUUGAUGUAAAUGGUUUUUUAUUAGGGGAGGGUUGGAGGUCAGGUCUGUUAAAAAAUGUUUAUAAUCUCAUAUUAAAUUUUGUACUUUAGUUUUUUUUUACUUUGUAGCUGUUAAUGUGAAUGAGUGCCAUUUGUGGCCUGCAUGUCUUUGGAUUAUGAACUUAUUAUCCAUAAUUAUAUUUGGCAUGUUUGAGACUCCUA